rnacentral:lncRNA from 1 species
AAUGAAGUCGCGGGCUCCUCGGCUCUGAAGGGAGGGCGGUGGCUGCCUCUGGCAGGUGGCUUCGGGUGGCUUUGGAGUUGCCCAGCCUCUCUCCCCUCAUCAAACAACGGGAAGUUUUGGAGUUCCUGCAGCUCUGGCGUGCUGUCACCCCAUCAAAUGGCGCUUCUUGAAUGUCCACUUGGACUCGCAGCCCUGCCUGUUGCCCGCUGGGAUUUCCCUUUGACUCAGUUUCAGGGGCGAGUUGUUCUCCUGCUUUGUUCAUUUGGAUUAGAAACCCCAUGACGUCCAACCUGGCUUGCAUUUUUCCUUCUCUUUUUUGAAACAAUAAAAAUGUUUGGGAGGGAUUCUGGACUACAUUAGGGAUCGUUUUCAAUUUUCCUGUGAGCCAUAUGGAAAGACUCACCUCCACUUACAGCUUUUCCCUGAGACUGUCUGACCCACGGUCAACACCACAAAAUGGAAAAGACCUUUCGGGCAGGCAGCAUUUCAGCACACUUCCUGCCCUUGUCCUCCACUGACCUCAGCUCAAGUCAACUCACAGGAAGGCAGGACUUUGACGGUCGGGCCCAAGGAAACCGUCAGUCCUGGGGUGCCCCCUCCUCACUGACGCUAGGGCUCCCCAAACUCUGAAAGGUGAAAUUGGGGCUGCGUAUGGGGUGGGGAUUGGGGUGGCACAGGUGUUUCUCUUCCUUGGUUGAGGGAGAAAGAUCAGUGGCAUUUGUCCCGUUUGGUGCUGGUGCUGCCUCAAGGCCUCCUUGAGUUAAUGGAGAAAAGUCAUAAAAUGCAGUCUAGUGGCCUAGCUAUGUUUUCCUUGCAAAUACAGAUGUAAAUUACUCCGGCACAGAGAGUUUGAAUGGCUGAGUAAAUGUUUGACCUUCAGUAAGAUUUCAGAAUUGAGGUGUUUGGGUCUUUUUGCAUCAUUAGAAAACAUGUACCUGCACGUGACAAGUUAAGGGGGUGACAGAAGUAAAGACAAACAAGAUCAUUCACAGACGAUGGGAGUCGGGCUGGGGAGCUGGAAAACUCAGCGCCUGCCUUCAAGGCUCGUGAGACUUUUUGAUAUGGGGAUUAGAAUUAGCUGCAGAAGGAGCCCGCGGUAGGGAGAUUUUACAGGAAAGGUUCUUCGGGUGGAGGGAGAGACGGAAUCUGUGGAAGCAGAUCCCGCUCUGGCCAAGCGGGGCGAGAGGUCUUGAGGCUAUAGAGAAAGGAGAAAGAAGAGACUUAAGGCUGUUUGGUGCAUGGGGACUGGGGGAGAAAGGAGGGGGAAAGAGAGAGAGACGGAGGAAUGACUAGUGAGAAGUUUUGCUGUGAAUAAGCCUGGAAUCUCUUUGGGCGUUUUUCCAGAAACUCCGAUAAAGAUUUUGCUUUCUUCUCAAUUACUCUCAG